rnacentral:lncRNA from 1 species
GAAGAAAGGCGCUCCGCUACUCGCUCUCGAAGAACCAAUUCUUGUCGGCAAACUAUUGGAAAUCCCUUGCAAGCACAGUCUACCAACACGCCUCCUAGACAGCGCAACCGAGAAGGUCGACCCUCGCAAGCCAAUGAGGAAGUCAAUCAACAUCAUCUAACCAUGCGUGCAGAAGACGUUGAGAAGCUUGUGAACAACCGAUUUCGAGACUUAAAGAUUGGCGGAAAUUUCGAAGAUACACUACGCAUUGAGGUAGACCAAGCAAACUCCUCACCUUUCAC